AUUCAGCUGUCAGGUGAACCGGACAAGCUCUGAUGUAAUCUACAUCAGAACGGUAGCUUUUCAGUCAAAUCCUUGUAUGGUGCAGUGGUUCACACUGAUUUUCGGGUUGAUAACAAGAAAUUGUGGAAGCUGAAAAUUCCCCUAAGAGUGAAGACAUUCCUCUGGUUUCUAAACAGAGGGGUCAUCUUAACUAGAGAUAACCUAGCAAGACGCAACUGCCAAGGUAGCAAGACAUGUGUAUUUUGCCAACAUGACGAGUCCAUCAAACACUUAUUUUUUGAGUGUAAGUUUGAUCGUGCAGUCUGGACCAUAGUUCAAGUACCUUCAAAUCUAUACCUCCCACGUAGUGCAUGUAACAUGUUCGGCAAUUAG
rnacentral:rRNA from 1 species